GACGAAUGCUGGCCGCGUGCUUAACACAUGCAAGUCGAACGGUGAAGGAGGGCUUGCCCUCCGGAUCAGUGGCGAACGGGUGAGUAACACGUGGGCAACCUGCCCCUCACUCUGGGAUAACGCCGGGAAACCGGCGCUAAUACCGGAUACGACCAGGCGCGACAUCUCGCCUGGUGGAAAGAAUUUCGGUGAGGGAUGGGCCCGCGGCCUAUCAGCUUGUUGGUGGGGUAACGGCCCACCAAGGCGACGACGGGUAGCCGGCCUGAGAGGGCGACCGGCCACACUGGGACUGAGACACGGCCCAGACGCCUACGGGAGGCAGCAGUGGGGAAUAUUGCGCAAUGGGCGAAAGCCUGACGCAGCGACGCAGCGUGAGGGACGAAGGCCUUCGGGUUGUAAACCUCUUUCAGCGGGGACGAAGCGAAAGUGACGGUACCCGCAGAAGAAGCACCGGCUAACUACGUGCCAGCCGCCGCAGUAACAC
rnacentral:rRNA from 1 species